rnacentral:rRNA from 1 species
CGGACGGGUGAGUAAUGUCUGGGAAAUUGCCUGAUGGAGGGGGAUAACUACUGGAAACGGUAGCUAAUACCGCAUAACGUCGCAAGACCAAAGAGGGGGACCUUCGGGCCUCUUGCCAUCGGAUGUGCCCAGAUGGGAUUAGCUAGUAGGUGGGGUAAAGGCUCACCUAGGCGACGAUCCCUAGCUGGUCUGAGAGGAUGACCAGCCACACUGGAACUGAGACACGGUCCAG